CCAAAAGCUGGCGACCGGCGCACGGGUGAGUAACACGUAUCCAAUCUGCCUCAUACUCGGGGAUAGCCUUUCGAAAGAAAGAUUAAUAUCCGAUAGCAUAUAUUUCCCGCAUGGGUUUUAUAUUAAAGAAAUUCGGUAUGAGAUGGGGAUGCGUUCCAUUAGUUUGUUGGGGGGUAACGGCCCACCAAGACUACGAUGGAUAGGGGUUCUGAGAGGAAGGUCCCCCACAUUGGAACUGAGACACGGUCCAA
rnacentral:rRNA from 1 species